rnacentral:tRNA from 1 species
GACCCUAUACCUACGGAGGGGCAGUGUUUUGAAAACUUUGCUACGGUGUUCGACUCACCGUGGGGUCU